rnacentral:rRNA from 1 species
UAGGAAUAUUGCGCAAUGGGGGAAACCCUGACGCAGCAAUCCCGCGUGAGUGAUGAAGGCCUUCGGGUUGUAAAGCUCUUUUAGUAAGAAAGAAAAAAAUGACGGUACUUACAGAAAAAGCACCGGCAAACUUCGUGCCAGCAGCCGCGGUAAUACGAAGGGUGCAAGCGUUACUCGGAUUUACUGGGCGUAAAGCGUCCGCAGGCUGUUUAGUCAGUUUGGUGUGAAAUCCCACUGCUCAAAGGUGGAAGUGCAUUGAAUACUGCUAGACUAGAGUAUAGGAGGGGAGAAUGGAAUUCCUGGUGUAGAGGUGAAAUUCGUAGAUAUCAGGAGGAACAACGGAAGCGAAGGCGAUUCUCUGGACUAUUACUGACGCUCAUGGACGAAAGUGUGGGGAGCAAAC